GGAGGGGACGGAGCCGCGCGGAACCCGAGAUGUCUCCGGAUUUGCCCGCACGAGCCGCGCACAGUGGAUUUCUAGGCUCCCCGAUGAUCACCCGGUUCUGGGGUAGCCUGGGUCUUUGGCCUGCAGCACCAGGACAGCGACGAAGCUGGGCUCCUGCCCACAGACUUCUGGGUCCCACACUCCUCUCAGGAAGGCUGUGGACCCUGCUUCCCGCUCCCUCCCUGCCCCCUGAGGAUGACCA